rnacentral:rRNA from 1 species
UGAGGAAUAUUGGGCAAUGCCCGCAAGGGUGACCCAGCAACGCCGCGUGGAGGAUGAAUGUCGUAAGAUUGUAAACUCCUGUUAGAGGGGAAGAAUAGUACCGGUUGGACCGGUAUAUGACUGUACCCUCAGAGAAAGCCCCGGCUAACUACGUGCCAGCAGCCGCGGUAAUACGUAGGGGGCAAGCGUUGUCCGGAUUUACUGGGUGUAAAGGGCGCGCAGGCGGGAUAAAAAGUCAGUGGUGAAAUCCUACAGCUUAACUGUAGAACUGCCUUUGAUACUUUUAUUCUUGAGUUCGGGAGAGAGAGACGGAAUUCCAGGUGUAGUGGUGAAAUACGUAGAUAUCUGGAAGAACACCAGUUGCGAAGGCCGUCUCUUGGUCCGACACUGACGCUGAGGCGCGAAAGCGUGGGGAGCAAACA